rnacentral:piRNA from 1 species
UGUGCUUUCUGGGACCAAAGAAUGGGCACC